UACGUAGGGGGCAAGCGUUGUCCGGAAUCAUUGGGCGUAAAGAGCGUGUAGGCGGCCCGAUAAGUCCGCCGUGAAAGUCCAGGGCUCAACCCUGGAAUGCCGGUGGAAACUGUCGGGCUCGAGUCCGGAAGAGGCGAGUGGAAUUCCUGGUGUAGCGGUGAAAUGCGCAGAUAUCAGGAGGAACACCAGUAGCGAAGGCGGCAUCCUGGACCGGCAUUGACGCUGAGGCGCGAAAGCCAGGGGAGCAAACGGG
rnacentral:rRNA from 1 species